rnacentral:rRNA from 1 species
UACGUAGGGUGCAAGCGUUGUCCGGAAUUAUUGGGCGUAAAGGGCUCGUAGGCGGUUCGUCACGUCGGGAGUGAAAACUCGGAGCUUAACUCCGAGCCUGCUUCCGAUACGGGCAGACUAGAGGUAGGCAGGGGAGAGCGGAACUCCUGGUGUAGCGGUGGAAUGCGCAGAUAUCAGGAGGAACACCGGUGGCGAAGGCGGUUCUCUGGGCAUUACCUGACGCUGAGGAGCGAAAGUGUGGGGAGCGAACAGG